UACGUAGGGGGCAAGCGUUGUCCGGAAUCAUUGGGCGUAAAGCGCGUGUAGGCGGUCCGGUAAGUCGGCUGUGAAAGUCCAGGGCUCAACCCUGGGAUGCCGGUCGAUACUGCCGGACUAGAGUUCGGAAGAGGCGAGUGGAAUUCCCGGUGUAGGGGUGAAAUGCGCAGAUAUCAGGAAGAACACCAAUGGCGAAGGCAGCUCUCUGGGACGGUACUGACGCUGAGACGCGAAAGCGUGGGGAGCGAACAGG
rnacentral:rRNA from 1 species